rnacentral:rRNA from 1 species
GUGAAAACACGUGGGUAACCUGCCUGUAAGACUGGGAUAACUCCGGGAAACCGGGGCUAAUACCGGAUGGUUGUUUGAACCGCAUGGUUCAAACAUAAAAGGUGGCUUCGGCUACCACUUACAGAUGGACCCGCGGCGCAUUAGCUAGUUGGUGAGGUAACGGCUCACCAAGGCAACGAUGCGUAGCCGACCUGAGAGGGUGAUCGGCCACACUGGGACUGAGACACGGCCCAGACUCCUACGGGAGGCAGCAGUAGGGAAUCUUCCGCAAUGGACGAAAGUCUGACGGAGCAACGCCGCGUGAGUGAUGAAGGUUUUCGGAUCGUAAAGCUCUGUUGUUAGGGAAGAACAAGUACCGUUCGAAUAGGGCGGUACCUUGACGGUACCUAACCAGAAAGCCACGGCUAACUACGUGCCAGCAGCCGCGGUAAUACGUAGGUGGCAAGCGUUGUCCGGAAUUAUUGGGCGUAAAGGGCUCGCAGGCGGUUUCUUAAGUCUGAUGUGAAAGCCCCCGGCUCAACCGGGGAGGGUCAUUGGAAACUGGGGAACUUGAGUGCAGAAGAGGAGAGUGGAAUUCCACGUGUAGCGGUGAAAUGCGUAGAGAUGUGGAGGAACACCAGUGGCGAAGGCGACUCUCUGGUCUGUAACUGACGCUGAGGAGCGAAAGCGUGGGGAGCGAACAGGAUUAGAUACCCUGGUAGUCCACGCCGUAAACGAUGAGUGCUAAGUGUUAGGGGGGUUUCCGCCCCUUAGUGCUGCAGCUAACGCAUUAAGCACUCCGCCUGGGGAGUACGGUCGCAAGACUGAAACUCAAAGGAAUUGACGGGGGCCCGCACAAGCGGUGGAGCAUGUGGUUUAAUUCGAAGCAACGCGAAGAACCUUACCAGGUCUUGACAUCCUCUGACAAUCCUAGAGAUAGGACGUCCCCUUCGGGGGCAGAGUGACAGGUGGUGCAUGGUUGUCGUCAGCUCGUGUCGUGAGAUGUUGGGUUAAGUCCCGCAACGAGCGCAACCCUUGAUCUUAGUUGCCAGCAUUCAGUUGGGCACUCUAAGGUGACUGCCGGUGACAAACCGGAGGAAGGUGGGGAUGACGUCAAAUCAUCAUGCCCCUUAUGACCUGGGCUACACACGUGCUACAAUGGACAGAACAAAGGGCAGCGAAACCGCGAGGUUAAGCCAAUCCCACAAAUCUGUUCUCAGUUCGGAUCGCAGUCUGCAACUCGACUGCGUGAAGCUGGAAUCGCUAGUAAUCGCGGAUCAGCAUGCCGCGGGGAAUACGUCCCCGGGCUUUGUACACACC